rnacentral:rRNA from 1 species
UACGGAGGGUGCGAGCGUUGUCCGGAAUCAUUGGGCGUAAAGGGCGCGUAGGUGGCCUGCUAAGCGUGCGGUGAAAGCUCGGGGCUCAACCCCGAGUCGGCCGUGCGAACUGGUGGGCUUGAGCACUGUAGAGGCAGGCGGAAUUCCGGGUGUAGCGGUGGAAUGCGUAGAGAUCCGGAAGAACACCGGUGGCGAAGGCGGCCGUGCUGGGCAGUGAGCUGACACUGAGGCGCGACAGCGUGGGGAGCAAACAGG